UACGGGGGGAGCAAGCGUUGUUCGGAUUUCCUGGGCGUAAAGGGCGCGUAGGCGGUCGUGACAAGUCACUUGUGAAAUCUCCGGGCUUAACUCGGAACGGUCAAGUGAUACUGUCGGACUAGAGUACAGAAGGGGCAACUGGAAUUCUCGGUGUAGCGGUGAAAUGUGUAGAUAUCGAGAGGAACACCUGCGGCGAAGGCGGGUUGCUGGGCUGAUACUGACGCUGAGGCGCGAAAGCCAGGGGAGCGAACGGG
rnacentral:rRNA from 1 species